rnacentral:lncRNA from 1 species
AAGCUAAGCGGCGCUGGUGAAGCGGCUCAUCAGGUCUAUCAGGAAACCUGAGAAUUGGAGUGAGAAUCCCAGUGUGGAAAAUCAGGAAAGAGGCUGGUAUGAGCGACAGAGAAGUCAUUCAGGAAAGAGGUUAUUGAAUUCAUUGGAGAAUGAAUGCUGUUCUGAAUUUGGCUAUGAAGUUUGUGAAUUUUUCCAAAUUGUCACAAUCUCCAAAAAAUUUUCCAUUAUAUUUACUGAAAAAAAUGCAUACAAGUGGACUCAUGCAGUUCAAACCCAUGGUGUUCAAAGUAUCUUAAGGGAAAUACUACAAAAUGUCGCAGAAGGUGCUGGAUGGAUAUCUAAAGUUCAAAAAGGAAGAGAACCACACGAGCUGGAGAUUCAGGAAGCAUCAGUAGAAGUCAAUGGCCAUUAAUAAAAACAUUUUUUAUUAAAAUAUUGAAUCUGAAUAGAAACCUCCUGUACUUCAUUUCUUAAAUCCCUUGAGGGUAGUAACUGCAUCUUCUCCAUUGAUAUAGCCCCUGCCAAGCACAGUGCCUGAAGGCAGGUCCACAGACAUUGGCUGAAUAAACGAGUGCUCUGUUCCCAGUCCGUACUUUCUCUGUGUCAUAAAAAAGCUGACAUGUCUGUGCUGCAUUUGAGGAUGACACUGGAUUUCCACAUUGCCUUUUCGCCUCAGAGCUUAUAUUACUUCCUAUCAAGUUAUCUCUCUGCCCCUCAUCGCAUCCCAGUGAGAAAGCAGAAAAUCCUAGAAAGUCAUUUUCCUUACUGUUCCGGUGGUGGCUCUUCACGCUUACAGAACGUUAGGUACACUGGGAACAUCACCUAGAGGGACACUGACAUCACCUCAUCAUAACAUAUGUCUC